rnacentral:rRNA from 1 species
ACGGGAGGUAGCAGUGGGGGAUAUUGCACAAUGGGGGAAACCCUGAUGCAGCAACGCCGCGUGAAGGAAGAAGGUCUUCGGAUUGUAAACUUCUGUUUUUAGUGAAGAAACAAAUGAAGGUAGCUAAAGAGGAAGCCACGGCUAACUACGUGCCAGCAGCCGAGGUAAUACGUGGGUGGCAAGCGUUGUCCGGAUUUACUGGGUGUAAAGGGUGCGCAGGCGGGACUGCAAGUUGGAUGUGAAAUACCGAGGCUUAACUUCGGGGAUGCAUCCAAAACUGUAGUUCUUGAGUGGAGUAGAGGUAAGCGGAAUUCCGAGUGUAGCGGUGAAAUGCGUAGAUAUUCGGAGGAACACCAGUGGCGAAGGCGGCUUACUGGGCUCUAACUGACGCUGAGGCACGAAAGCAUGGGUAGCAAACAGGAUUAGAUACCCAGGUA